UACCAAUUGUUGCCUCGGCGGAUCAGCCCGCUCCCGGUAAAACGGAACGGCCCGCCAGAGGACCCCUAAACUCUGUUUCUAUAUGUAACUUCUGAGUAAAACCAUAAAUAAAUCAAAACUUUCAACAACGGAUCUCUUGGUUCUGGCAUCGAUGAAGAACGCAGCAAAAUGCGAUAAGUAAUGUGAAUUGCAGAAUUCAGUGAAUCAUCGAAUCUUUGAACGCACAUUGCGCCCGCCAGUAUUCUGGCGGGCAUGCCUGUUCGAGCGUCAUUUCAACCCUCAAGCCCCCGGGUUUGGUGUUGGGGAUCGGCGAGCCUCACGGCAAGCCGGCCCCGAAAUACAGUGGCGGUCUCGCUGCAGCUUCCAUUGCGUAGUAGUAAAACCCUCGCAACUGGUACGCGGCGCGGCCAAGCCGUUAAACCCCCAACUUCUGAAUGUUGACCUCGGAUCAGGUAGGAAUACCCGCUGAACUUAAGCAUAUCAAUAA
rnacentral:rRNA from 1 species